rnacentral:rRNA from 1 species
UACGAAGGGUGCAAGCGUUACUCGGAAUUACUGGGCGUAAAGCGUGCGCAGGCGGUUGUGCAAGACGGAUGUGAAAUCCCCGGGCUUAACCUGGGAAUUGCAUUCGUGACUGCACGGCUAGAGUGUGUCAGAGGGGGGUAGAAUUCCACGUGUAGCAGUGAAAUGCGUAGAUAUGUGGAGGAAUACCGAUGGCGAAGGCAGCCCCCCUGGGAUAACACUGACGCUCAUGCACGAAAGCGUGGGGAGCAAACGGG